rnacentral:lncRNA from 1 species
CUUGCCUGGAUAACUCCAGGAACUGGGGAUUUGGGACAUCUCAGGCUUUCAGAUUCUCUGUUAAUCAAAUCCCAAGUGCUAAAAGGAACCAAGAGACAUGAAAAGUGUUGCUAAAAAAGCAAGGGGUGGGGGAGGGAAACAAAUAAAGCCACCCCCCAGUCCCCAGAGAAGAAGCAGCUUCUGCAUCAUAUCUCAUCUGGGAAAAAUUAUAUUUUGGGAAUUAUGUGCUUCUUCUGAAAAGCCUUAAAGAGAUUUAAUAAAAUGAGACAAGCUAAUAAUAUAGGGAAUGAAUAGCAACCCUGGAUGCUGCAUCUUGAUUUAAUCAGAUGCUUUUCCUCAGGGGGACAAGCAAGAACUAUAGCUAAAGCCUCCCUUCCCUACCCAGCUGCUCCCCUCUUCCUCUGGCCAUUCACUCCCUUUCCAAUCCCAGUGGAGCAGCCAGGGCAGGAUUUGGGGUCCCACAAGUCCCGUUGCUCACCAGCAGCUGCUGGGAAAUGCACAGCCCACGCUGGUUCUGUGGAAGCAGGAUAAGGAGCUGGACACCAGCUUGCAGUACAGCCCCCAGGGAGAGGGGCCCUGGCCAGGGAACAGUCCUGGGGGAGAAAAGCAGGAAUUGGGGAGCCAGGACAGCCGGGCUCGGUUCCAUGAGCGGGGUUGCUCAGAGCCUGGGAAUGCUGUGUGCUGCUGCAGUGGGGCUGAGCCCGUGGUGGGAUGUGAAGCAUCUGAUGAGGAGCUGAUGUGGGAUGUGCCCCUCUCCGUGGCUGGGACAGCUGCAGGGGUGCAUGUGCCGGGUGGGAAGGACACAAAUGGCCCUUCCAGUCCUGUUUCACCGCUCAGACCCGCAGGACCCAGCCGUGAACCAGCCCGGCCCCGGGGGGAUGAUCCUUCCCAGCUCCGCAGCGCACUCAGAAACCAAACUCAUGUUCUGAUGUAAUUGUCCUUUUCCGAGUAUCCCCGCUCGCCUGUGCCUGUGCUGGGCACCUCGGUGCCGCUCCUGCUUCCUGGAACAUUUUGCUUCCUACACUUUUGCCGUGGUGCAGCUGCUGUGAGCUCUGCCUUGCUGCUGCACAGUUCGUCCCAGCCAGGCCCUGGGGAGCCGCGUGUUCUGUCGCCGGGAUGUUUGUGUGACUUUCGUGGAAUUUCCUUUCCUCAGCCACUUGCUCACGGACACAGGGUGGGUUUGGAUGGUUGGCAGGUGGCUGGUAAACCGAGGAGGGUGAAAAUAGGGAGGGGAACAGCAAAAGCAAGGACUGAUCUGUGCUGAAGGUGAUUCCAUUUAAGGUGUCGCUAGGGUUCGUGCAGAACAUCCUGCCUGUGGCUCUGGCUGUGCUGAGCUGCUCAUGAAAGGGAUUCCAUCCUCCAAAACCAGGCAAGGAGCAAAACAUCCCACAAAUAGCAGGGCCAAACUCUGGCAGCUGUGGGGGAAAUGUCCUUUUACUUGCCUCUGCUUAAGCCUUGGGCUAUUUGCAGUCAGGUCAGAAAUAGGUGGUGAUUUGUAAAAGAGUCAUAACUGUGGGAAGGCUUUGCCUUACAGCGAGGUGGAUCCUUUAUCAUCAAUCACUGGCAGCAGCUCCCAGAAAAUGGGCUUUGCUCCUACAGAUGAGUUUCUAGAUGAGCCUGGGAGGACUCAGCUAAUGCUGUGUAAUGCUCCCUGCUCGGGCUCUGCGUGAGGAGCUGGGCUCUGGGAUGGCACAGGCAGUGCUCACCACCUAUUCUCUGGGAGCUCCCACCAGCAGCAGUUCUCCUCCACCCACCCCAGGUCCCUGACAUCCUGUCCUGGCUGUCAGCAGGUCCCUGCCUUUGGUCCCACUCCACCAAGCCCACAGGAUCCCAGUGCACAUCUGUCUCCUGGCAUGCUCUGCCCAAAGAGCUGUUUAGAAGGAGCAAAUAGAAUUUUUUUCCUGUCAGCCAGGAGCAGUUUGAAGCAGGCUAUUUUUACCUGUUCCUGACUCUAUUAAUAGUUGUACGGCCAGCAAUAAAUGCUGAUCGAGAUAUUCGAUUUGUCUGUCCUCCAGAGGUUGCCACUUCCUAUUCCCCCUGUUGUUUCCCAUCAACUGCUUCAAUUAAAUGAUCUUUUUGUUAUUUGGGGUGAUACAUUUGGGCUUUGUGUUCGGCUAUUAAACUUCUUUGCUGUCUCACACACAGAUGAAUAAACACAGGAAACUG